UCCUACGGGGGGCUGCAGUCGAGAAUCUUCGGCAAUGGGCGCAAGCCUGACCGAGCGACGCCGCGUGUGGGAUGAAGGCCCUUGGGUUGUAAACCACUGUCAGAGGGGAUGAAGUGCACGUGAGCAAUCUCAUGUGUUUGACAUAGCCUCAGAGGAAGCACGGGCUAAGUUCGUGCCAGCAGCCGCGGUAAUACGAACUGUGCAAACGUUAUUCGGAAUCACUGGGCUUAAAGGGUGCGUAGGCGGUUCUGUAAGUAGGGUGUGAAAGCCCCUGGCUCAACCAGGGAAUUGCGCCUUAAACUGCAGGGCUGGAGUGAGAUAGGGGUGUGCGGAACUUCCAGUGGAGCGGUGAAAUGUGUUGAUAUUGGAAGGAACGCCGGAGGCGAAAGCGGCACACUGGGUCUCAACUGACGCUGAGGCACGAAAGCCAGGGGAGCAAACGGGAUUAGAUACCCGAGUAGUC
rnacentral:rRNA from 1 species